rnacentral:rRNA from 1 species
UACAGAGGGGGCAAGCGUUAUUCGGAAUUAUUGGGCGUAAAGCGUGCGCAGGCGGUUUUGUAAGUCUGACGUGAAAUCCCCGGGCUCAACCUGGGAAUUGCGUUGGAGACUGCAAGGCUGGAGUCUGGCAGAGGGGGGUAGAAUUCCACGUGUAGCAGUGAAAUGCGUAGAGAUGUGGAGGAACACCGAUGGCGAAGGCAGCCCCCUGGGUCAAGACUGACGCUCAUGCACGAAAGCGUGGGGAGCAAACAGG